UGCCUAUUGUGUUUAAUUUAGACAGUUAAGUAGAUCCCUUGAGCCAACAACGUAUCACCCCCCAGGAGGAUCGCAAAUGGAUUCACAGUCCAAGUUGAGGAAAAAUUGAGAGAAAGUUAUGGGAA